CCUACGGGUGGCUGCAGUGGGGAAUCUUGCGCAAUGGGCGAAAGCCUGACGCAGCAACGCCGCGUGCGGGAAGAAGGCUCUCGGGUUGUAAACCGCUUUCAGCAGGAACGAAAAUGACGGUACUUGCAGAAGAAGGUGCGGCCAACUACGUGCCAGCAGCCGCGGUGACACGUAGGCACCAAGCGUUGUCCGGAUUUAUUGGGCGUAAAGAGCUCGUAGGCGGUUCGGUAAGUCGGGUGUGAAAUCUCGGUGCUUGACCCCGGGCCGGGAUCCGAUACUGCUGUGACUAGAGUUCGGUAGGGGAGUGGGGAAUUCCUAGUGUAGCGGUGAAAUGCGCAGAUAUUAGGAGGAACACCGGUGGCGAAGGCGCCACUCUGGGCCGAUACUGACGCUGAGGAGCGAAAGCGUGGGUAGCAAACAGGAUUAGAUACCCGUGUAGUC
rnacentral:rRNA from 1 species